CAGGGACUGGAUGCUGAACCAGAAUAGUGCUGAGUCAUUUCUUCUGGCUUCAAGAUUCCCCUGGAAGGAGGCUCUGGAUGCUUGGCCCAGGAGUAGGCCACCGUAUUCUAUUGCAGAAAAUGGCAAGCCACCUAGCUUCAACUCUGCUUGUCCUUUAUUUGCUCUGGCUGACCACUGUGUUCUUCUUAUUCCUUUGAGAGGGAAACAUGCUGAGACAGAUAUUUUCCAGAAAACUUGCUCUGAGUUAAUGCCCAAGAAGAGAAGAAAUGAUUUGAACAGCUAAAUAUGUGAGACCUUGUGUCAGGCUUUUUCGAGUUGAUCUCUCAAUUUGACAAAAUGUACAUCUUUGUAGAACUAAAAAGUUCAAUAGCUGCUUUGGUGUGUGUUUAGUUUGAUUUAGUCCCAGUUUCUGCUUUUCUUUCUAGACUCUCUCU
rnacentral:lncRNA from 1 species